UACGGGGGGGGCAAGCGUUGUUCGGAAUUACUGGGCGUAAAGGGCUUGUAGGUGGCCAACUAAGUCAGACGUGAAAUCCCUCGGCUUAACCGGGGAACUGCGUCUGAUACUGGAUGGCUUGAGUGUGGGAGAGGGAUGCGGAAUUCCAGGUGUAGCGGUGAAAUGCGUAGAUAUCUGGAGGAACACCGGUGGCGAAGGCAGUUCUCUGGGACGGUACUGACGCUGAGACGCGAAAGCGUGGGGAGCGAACAGG
rnacentral:rRNA from 1 species